AAACGACUCUCGGCAACGGAUAUCUCRGCUCUCGCAUCGAUGAAGAACGUAGCGAAAUGCGAUACUUGGUGUGAAUUGCAGAAUCCCGUGAACCAUCGACUCUUUGAACGCAAGUUGCGCCCGAAGCCAUUAGGCCGAGGGCACGUCUGCCUGGGCGUCACGC
rnacentral:rRNA from 1 species